rnacentral:rRNA from 1 species
UNUUACCAGAAAGGGACGGCUAACUACGUGCCAGCAGCCGCGGUAAUACGUAGNUCCCGAGCGUUGUCCGGAUUUAUUGGGCGUAAAGCGAGCGCAGGCGGUUAGAUAAGUNUGAAGUUAAAGGCUGUGGCUUAACCAUAGUACGCUUUGGAAACUGUUUAACUNGAGUGCAGAAGGGGAGAGUGGAAUUCCAUGUGUAGCGGUGAAAUGCGUAGAUAUAUGGAGGAACACCGGUGGCGAAAGCGGCUCUCUGGUCUGUAACUGACGCUGAGGCUCGAAAGCGUGGGGAGCGAACAGGAUUAGAUACCCUGGUAGUCCACGCCGUAAACGAUGAGUGCUAGGUGUUAGGCCCUUUCCGGGGCUUAGUGCCGUAGCUAACGCGUUAAGCACUCCGCCUGGGGAGUACGACCGCAAGGUUGAAACUCAAAGGAAUUGACGGGGGCCCGCACAAGCGGUGGAGCAUGUGGUUUAAUUCGAAGCAACGCGAAGAACCUUACCAGGUCUUGACAUCCCGAUGCCCGCUCUAGAGAUAGAGUUUUACUUCGGUACAUCGGUGACAGGUGGUGCAUGGUUGUCGUCAGCUCGUGUCGUGAGAUGUUGGGUUAAGUCCCGCAACGAGCGCAACCCCUAUUGUUAGUUGCCAUCAUUCAGUUGGGCACUCUAGCGAGACUGCCGGUAAUAAACCGGAGGAAGGUGGGGAUGACGUCAAAUCAUCAUGCCCCUUAUGACCUGGGCUACACACGUGCUACAAUGGCUGGUACAACGAGUCGCAAGUCGGUGACGACAAGCUAAUCUCUUAAAGCCAGUCUCAGUUCGGAUUGUAGGCUGCAACUCGCCUACAUGAAGUCGGAAUCGCUAGUAAUCGCGGAUCAGCACGCCGCGGUGAAUACGUUCCCGGGCCUUGUACACACCGCCCGUCACACCACGAGAGUUUGUAACA